UGAGGAAUAUUGGGCAAUGCCCGCAAGGGUGACCCAGCAACGCCGCGUGGAGGAUGAAUGUCGUAAGAUUGUAAACUCCUGUUAGAGGGGAAGAAUAGUACCGGUUGGACCGGUAUAUGACUGUACCCUCAGAGAAAGCCCCGGCUAACUACGUGCCAGCAGCCGCGGUAAUACGUAGGGGGCAAGCGUUGUCCGGAUUUACUGGGUGGAAAGGGCGCGCAGGCGGGAUAAAAAGUCAGUGGUGAAAUCCUACAGCUUAACUGUAGAACUGCCUUUGAUACUUUUAUUCUUGAGUUCGGGAGAGAGAGACGGAAUUCCAGGUGUAGUGGUGAAAUGCGUAGAUAUCUGGAAGAACACCAGUUGCGAAGGCGGUCUCUUGGUCCGACACUGACGCUGAGGCGCGAAAGCGUGGGGAGCAAACA
rnacentral:rRNA from 1 species